rnacentral:lncRNA from 1 species
GAGGAUUUAGGCGAGAGAUUAUCAAGUUAGGUCUUGUGAACAUUCUGGUGGAAGAUUCUCAAAUUUUGAUCAACCUACUUGGUGGAGAGAAACCACAAUCAUGGCGUCUUCUUUCACGAAUGAAAGAUAUGUGGAGUUUGAUGGUGAAUGUUCGGGUUGCUCAUAUUCGGCAUGCUUUGCGUGAAGCCAUUAUUGUUGCAGAUGGUCUAGCUUCUUUGGGACAUUAGAAGUCGAAUACAAGUAUUUUGGUUACGAGUCACAACCAAAUUGCGGUUGUGAUGAUGUUCAGGCCGAAUGAAUUGUGACUUCUUGUUGGUUGCGACAUCUGCAUUGAUACUAUACACGCUAAAGCUAGGCCUGGUAUUUUGGACCCAAUCCGUUAAUCCGACCCGACUCAACCCGUUAAUAUUUGUAUUUGGGUGGAUGCUUAACAGGUCGGGUUGCUAACGGAUGAACCCGUUAACAAUCCGUUAAAUAACGGAUCACUUUGGGUCAACCCGUUAGACCCGUUAGGACCCAUUAACAUCCGUUAGCACCGGUUAGUUGAAGAUAUUUUAGUAAUUUUAGUAAAGUCUUAAUAAUAAAAAAUAAACUUUAUGCAAAAAAAAAAAAUUAAUUGUUAACGGGUGAUAACGGGUCGGGUUCGGAUGAUCCGUUAGCUUAACGGGUCAGGUUGAACCUGAUCCAAACUUAAUAAACCCGAUCCGUUUACAGGUCUAGCUAAAGCGUUAAUUAAUUAGCAAGUUUGACAUUGUUGAAUCAGCUCAGCUCAUUGUUUAAGGUCAUCGUUGAAAGAUCACGUCUUCCGAAAAUGAACCAACGACUUAGUAAGAAAGAAAUCCAUCUUCUUGGGAGGAAUUAAGCUGAUGGUCAACGUUACUACAUGUUGUUUGACUUGAGAAGAUGAUGAUAUGGUGCACGCUGUCCUAGAAUAAUUACCCAACUUUCAGACUAAAUCUCUCCACUAAAGAUUUUUCUCAUGUAUCAAAAUAUAGUUGGUAAACCAUGUCAUCAUAUUUCGACCAAAAAAAAAAAAAUCACGUCAUCAUAUAAAUGGAGAGAAGAUAUAUUUUACAGCAUUUUUUUCAUUUAUAUUAUGACCCAUAAUGUAUCGACUUAUGUUCCGGAUACAUCUAUUUCAUCGGACAACAAAAUCUUCCCUCCGAAAUUUUUCAGCACAAACACAAAUCAAGCGACAAAAAAAGCGAACACAAACCAAUGAGCAUGCAAAGACACAAAUCCAGGAAAUAAUGGGCAGGCCCAGUCCUACAUUAUUUCCACGCUUGAGCCUGGAGCUGAGCAAGCUCAUAAGAAUACAAACCGUCAGUCUAGUAAUGCUAAGAACG